rnacentral:rRNA from 1 species
UACGAAGGGGGCUAGCGUUGCUCGGAAUCACUGGGCGUAAAGCGCACGUAGGCGGCUUUUUAAGUCAGGGGUGAAAUCCUGGAGCUCAACUCCAGAACUGCCUUUGAUACUGGCUAUCUUGAGUUCGGGAGAGGUGAGUGGAAUGCCGAGUGUGGAGGUGAAAUUCGUAGAUAUUCGGCGGAACACCGGUGGCGAAGGCGGCAUCCUGGACCGACACUGACGCUGAGGAGCGAAAGCCAGGGGAGCAAACGGG